AGCUAAAGAGGAGCCCAUUACUUUUUACUCUGUAUUAGGGUUUCACACUUCAUUGUCCUUAGCCGUCAAACCUCCCAUUUUUUCUCUCUCCUCCUCUGUCCUCUCUCCUCUUAAUUUUCUCACUCAAUCUCGCUCUCUUCUCCUGAUUCACCUCAAUCCAUUCACUCAAUCCAUUCAUUCAAUCUCCUCCAUUUCACCACCCUAAUUCCCAAAGUUCCCCUCUUUCUCUCUCCUCUAAAUUGCAUCAAUGGUGGAGGACCCAAUUUAGAAUGUCUUUUGAACGAAUCUCGGUACCUAGAAGUGUAUAUGAGGGUGAUGAUUCAGGGUCAAGAACAUCGCAAUGGGUGUUUAUAUAUCUUCGAUUUUUUCAAGCAAAUUAGAUUGGAGAAACCCGAUUCUUCUUCAAGAGAAAGCGAAAAAAACCCUAGUUUUUUGCCCUAAUUUCACUGCCUAAAUAUCCCAUUUUUAUGCUCAUUCUAAGAUUUUGAAGCCAAAUCGCCGCCCUCUUGUGUACGAUUAUGAUGAUACGAUUCCUCAACGAAGUUUUCUUGGUUGUUGGAUGUGAAACAAGGGCAAAACAAAGAGGGGAAGAUUGUUUUGUACCUGGUGUUUGAGUACAUGGACACUGAUCUUAAGAAAUACAUCCGUAGUUCCUGUAAUACCGGGGAUACCGUCCCUCCUCCGAUCAUCAAGUUUGAUGUACCAAUUGUGUAAAGGUUUUGCUUUCUGCCAUGGUCAUGAUGUCAUUCACAGAUUUAUAGUUCAAUCAUCCAAAGCAGAAAAGGAUGGCACAAGCCCAGAAUGCACUGCCUGAUGGAGAUGUGAAGGUCAGGGGUGAGCUAUAGGUUCUGAUAUUCGAGAAAAGUCAUAUUUUUUUGACAGUUCUUACAAUACGUGUAACUUCAAGGUGUAUCUAUGAGUAUUAUAUUCGCUAAAAUGUUAGUAUAGAUGGCUAUUUAUACGAUGUGUGGAGGUUUUUGUAAUCUAAUAGUCUCAUGACUCUCAACUUAUCUAUUAUGUAACAUGUGAAUAUGCAAUUACGUGUAUGUUGUAUAUCUUUUGGUGUCAAAUUGUCAAUAAUGCUAUAUAAUCUUCAAAUA